rnacentral:rRNA from 1 species
GCUGUGAUGGGGAGAAGACAUUGUGUCUUCGAGUCGUUGAUUUCACACUGCCGAGAAAAGCCUCUAGAUAGAAAAUAGGUGCCCGUACCGCAAACCGACACAGGUAGUCAAGAUGAGAAUUCUAAGGUGAGCGAGCGAACUCUCGUUAAGGAACUCGGCAAAAUGACCCCGUAACUUCGGGAGAAGGGGUGCUCUUUAGGGUUAACGCCCAGAAGAGCCGCAGUGAAUAGGCCCAAGCGACUGUUUAUCAAAAACACAGGUCUCUGCUAAACCGUAAGGUGAUGUAUAGGGGCUGACGCCUGCCCGGUGCUGGAAGGUUAAGAGGAGUGGUUAGCUUCUGCGAAGCUACGAAUCGAAGCCCCAGUAAACGGCGGCCGUAACUAUAACGGUCCUAAGGUAGCGAAAUUCCUUGUCGGGUAAGUUCCGACCCGCACGAAAGGCGUAACGAUUUGGGCACUGUCUCAACGAGAGACUCGGUGAAAUCAUAGUACCUGUGAAGAUGCAGGUUACCCGCGACAGGACGGAAAGACCCCGUGGAGCUUUACUGUAGCCUGAUAUUGAAAUUCGGCACAGCUUGUACAGGAUAGGUAGGAGCCUUUGAAACGUGAGCGCUAGCUUACGUGGAGGCGCUGGUGGGAUACUACCCUAGCUGUGUUGGCUUUCUAACCCGCACCACUUAUCGUGGUGGGAGACAGUGUCAGGCGGGCAGUUUGACUGGGGCGGUCGCCUCCUAAAAGGUAACGGAGGCGCUCAAAGGUUCCCUCAGAAUGGUUGGAAAUCAUUCAUAGAGUGUAAAGGCAUAAGGGAGCUUGACUGCGAGACCUACAAGUCGAGCAGGGUCGAAAGACGGACUUAGUGAUCCGGUGGUUCCGCAUGGAAGGGCCAUCGCUCAACGGAUAAAAGCUACCCCGGGGAUAACAGGCUUAUCUCCCCCAAGAGUUCACAUCGACGGGGAGGUUUGGCACCUCGAUGUCGGCUCAUCGCAUCCUGGGGCUGUAGUCGGUCCCAAGGGUUGGGCUGUUCGCCCAUUAAAGCGGUACGCGAGCUGGGUUCAGAACGUCGUGAGACAGUUCGGUCCCUAUCCGUCGUGGGCGUAGGAAAUUUGAGAGGAGCUGUCCUUAGUACGAGAGGACCGGGAUGGACAUACCUCUGGUGUACCAGUUGUCGUGCCAACGGCAUAGCUGGGUAGCUAUGUGUGGACGGGAUAAGUGCUGAAAGCAUCUAAGCAUGAAGCCCCCCUCAAGAUGAGAUUUCCCAACUUCGGUUAUAAGAUCCCUCAAAGAUGAUGAGGUUAAUAGGUUCGAGGUGGAAGCAUGGUGACAUGUGGAGCUGACGAAUACUAAUCGAUCGAAGACUUAAUCAA